UCCCUGGAGGACCAGUGGUUAGGCCUUGGCGCUAUCACCGCUGCAGCCCGGGUUUGAUUCCCAGCCAGGGAA
rnacentral:tRNA from 1 species